GAUGAACGCUGGCGGCGUGCUUAACACAUGCAAGUCGAGCGAAGCACUUAGGUUCGAUUCUUCGGAUGAAGACUUUUGUGACUGAGCGGGCGACGGGUGAAGGUAACGCGUAGGGUUAACCGUGCCUCAUACAGGGGGAUAACAGUUAGAAAUGGCUGCUAAUACCGCAUAAGACCACGGUACUGCAUGGUACAGUGGUAAAAACUCCGGUGGUAUGAGAUGGACCCGCGUCUGAUUAGGUAGUUGGUGAGGUAACGGCCCACCAAGCCGACGAUCAGUAGCCGGACUGAGAGGUUGAACGGCCACAUUGGGACUGAGAUACGGCCCAG
rnacentral:rRNA from 1 species